AUAGUGGCAGACGGGUGAGUAACGCGUGGGAACGUGCCCUUCACUACGGAAUAGCUUCUGGAAACGGAAGGUAAUACCGUAUACGCCCUUCGGGGGAAAGAUUUAUCGGUGAAGGAUCGGCCCGCGUUAGAUUAGAUAGUUGGUGGGGUAAUGGCCUACCAAGUCUACGAUCUAUAGCUGGUCUGAGAGGAUGAUCAGCCACACUGGGACUGAGACACGGCCCAGACUCCUACGGGAGGCAGCAGUGGGGAAUCUUGCACAAUGGGCGAAAGCCUGAUGCAGCCAUGCCGCGUGAAUGAUGAAGGCCUUAGGGUUGUAAAAUUCUUUCGCCAGGGAUGAUAAUGACAGUACCUGGUAAAGAAGCCCCGGCUAACUUCGUGCCAGCAGCCGCGGUAAUACGAAGGGGGCUAGCGUUGUUCGGAAUUACUGGGCGUAAAGCGCGCGUAGGCGGGCUAUUAAGCCAGAUGUGAAAGCCCGGGGCUCAACCCCGGAAUUGCAUUUGGAACUGGUAGCCUAGAGACCAGGAGAGGUUAGCGGAAUACCGAGUGUAGAGGUGAAAUUCGUAGAUAUUCGGUGGAACACCAGUGGCGAAGGCGGCUAACUGGACUGGUACUGACGCUGAGGCGCGAAAGUGUGGGGAGCAAACAGGAUUAGAUACCCUGGUAGUCCACACCGUAAACGAUGAAUGCUAGUUGUCUGCGCGCAUGCGUGCAGGUGACGCAGCUAACGCAUUAAGCAUUCCGCCUGGGGAGUACGGCCGCAAGGUUAAAACUCAAAGAAAUUGACGGGGGCCCGCACAAGCGGUGGAGCAUGUGGUUUAAUUCGAAGCAACGCGCAGAACCUUACCCGCGUUUGACAUGCCCUGUUUGGUUACCAGAGAUGGUUUCCUUCAUUUAGUUGGCAGGUGCACAGGUGCUGCAUGGCUGUCGUCAGCUCGUGUCGUGAGAUGUUUGGGUUAAGUCCCGCAACGAGCGCAACCCUUAUCCUUAGUUGCCAGCACGUCUGGGUGGGCACUCUAAGGAAACUGCCGGUGCUAAGCCGGAGGAAGGCGGGGAUGACGUCAAGUCCUCAUGGCCCUUACACGCGGGGCUACACACGUGCUACAAUGGCAGUGACAAUGGG
rnacentral:rRNA from 1 species